GAUGAAUUAAUGGAUCUUUCCAACAGAACAGUAAAGCAAUGUUCUAUGUACACAAUGAUCUGUGUAGGUACUGCUCAUAUAAGGGCAAACUAAUGGCAUAUAAACCUCACUCAUUAACAGGGUACAUUUCCCCUUUAAGAGUGGCUCCUGCCUUACACUGUGUGACAUCAGCGCUGUGACAGUUAUUCAGUUGGUUGGCAUUGUAGUGAGAGAUUGCUAUACUGCUGAGCUUCUGUACCUGUGGUUUGUGCGACUUUGAUUGCUAUUUCCGAGCGAUUUUUUGGCUUCCCCUUUAGUUCGAUCAAUUCUAUUCUGGUCUGAGCUUAGGGAAAAGCCACUUUCGACUGAGGGUCUCCCUUGGGUGCCCCGGCCUUGUGCCGGUCCUCAAGUGUGAGGAACCCCUCACUAUACGAACCAGAAGAGUUUAACAUCUGGCACUUCUGGUUCCAACGGCACCUUCUGGCACACCUUUUUUAGAGGUGGCUGUACUUUGAGGCAGCAGAAUGCCAGAGGUAAAGGUGCUUUUCGCAGUCCUGGAGGACUACAUUCACCAGCAGAGCUUCGAUGAGGCCAUUUAUGGCUACUAUGGUAAGUAUUGCGCUUAAGAUCAGUAACUUUGCGUUUUUGGCUCCAGAAAUAUAAAGGUGUCACACCCAACAUUCCC